rnacentral:rRNA from 1 species
UGGGGAAUAUUGGACAAUGGGGGGAACCCUGAUCCAGCCAUGCCGCGUGUGUGAAGAAGGCCUUAUGGUUGUAAAGCACUUUAAGCGAGGAGGAGGGUACUGGUAUUAAUACUACCAGGUACUGGACGUUACUCGCAGAAUAAGCACCGGCUAACUCUGUGCCAGCAGCCGCGGUAAUACAGAGGGUGCGAGCGUUAAUCGGAUUUACUGGGCGUAAAGCGUGCGUAGGCGGCUAAUUGAGUCGGAUGUGAAAUCCCCGAGCUUAACUUGGGAAUUGCAUUCGAUACUGGUUAGCUAGAGUGUGGGAGAGGAUGGUAGAAUUCCAGGUGUAGCGGUGAAAUGCGUAGAGAUCUGGAGGAAUACCGAUGGCGAAGGCGGCCAUCUGGCCUAACACUGACGCUGAGGUACGAAAGCAUGGGGAGCAAACAGG